ACUUACGUUGAAAAGUGAGCGGAUGAACUGAGGGUAGCGGAGAAAUUCCAAUCGAACCUGGAGAUAGCUGGUUCUCUCCGAAAUAGCUUUAGGGCUAGCCUCAAGUGAUGAUUAUUGGAGGUAGAGCACUGUUUGGACGAGGGGCCCCUCUCGGGUUACCGAAUUCAGACAAACUCCGAAUGCCAAUUAAUUUAACUUGGGAGUCAGAACAUGGGUGAUAAGGUCCGUGUUCGAAAGGGAAACAGCCCAGACCACCAGCUAAGGUCCCAAAAUAUAUGUUAAGUGGAAAAGGAUGUGGCGUUGCCCAGACAACUA
rnacentral:rRNA from 1 species